AGUGACUGGCAGGGUUGCCUCCCUCUGCUGGAAAGGCCACCGAAGGCAUGCCACAGACCCACUCGCCUCUACUUUGCCUUUGGGGACAUCACUCGGGGAGUGGGAAAUCGGCCACGGUGGGAAUAUUUACUCCAAAAGAAUCAAAGGACACUAGAAAUCAGGACUUUUUCUUUCCAUCAGCGAGCCAGGUGUCCUCGUGAGAAAGGAGGAAAACCAGAGAUGCAGAGAAAGGAAACCACGUGAAGCCAGAGGCCGACAGGAGUCACUUAU
rnacentral:lncRNA from 1 species